rnacentral:rRNA from 1 species
UGGGGAAUAUUGGACAAUGGGCGCAAGCCUGAUCCAGCCAUGCCGCGUGAGUGAUGAAGGCCCUAGUGUUGUAAAGCUCUUUCACCGGUGAAGAUACUGACGGUAACCGUAGAAGAAGCCCCCGCUAACUUCGUGCCAGCAGCCGCGGUAAUACGAAGGGGGCUAGCGUUGUUCGGAUUUACUGGGCGUAAAGCGCACGUAGGCGGACUAUUAAGUCAGGGGUGAAAUCCCGGGGCUCAACCCCGGAACUGCCUUUGAUACUGGUAGUCUUGAGUUCGAGAGAGGUGAGUGGAAUUCCGAGUGUAGAGGUGAAAUUCGUAGAUAUUAGGAGGAACACCAGUGGCGAAGGCGGCUCACUGGCUCGAUACUGACGCUGAGGUGCGAAAGCGUGGGGAGCAAACAGG